rnacentral:rRNA from 1 species
UACAGAGGUCUCAAGCGUUGUUCGGAUUCAUUGGGCGUAAAGGGUGCGUAGGUGGCGCCGUAAGUCAGGUGUGAAAUCUCGGGGCUUAACCCCGAAACUGCCACUUGAUACUGCGGUGCUCGAGUACUGGAGAGGAGAUUGGAAUUUACGGUGUAGCAGUGAAAAUGCGUAGAUAUCGAUGAAGAAGACCGAGUGGCGAAGG